rnacentral:rRNA from 1 species
GAUGAACGCUGGCGGCGUGCCUAAUACAUGCGAGUCGAGCGAACAGAUGAGGAGCUUGCUCCUCUGACGUUAGCGGCGGGCGGGUGAGUAACACGUGGAUAACCUACCUAUAAGACUGGGAUAACUUCGGGAAACCGGAGCUAAUACCGGAUAAUAUAUUGAACCGCAUGGUUCAAUAGUGAAAGACGGUUUUGCUGUCACUUAUAGAUGGAUCCGCGCCGCAUUAGCUAGUUGGUAAGGUAACGGCUUACCAAGGCAACGAUGCGUAGCCGACCUGAGAGGGUGAUCGGCCACACUGGAACUGAGACACGGUCCAGACUCCUACGGGAGGCAGCAGUAGGGAAUCUUCCGCAAUGGGCGAAAGCCUGACGGAGCAACGCCGCGUGAGUGAUGAAGGUCUUCGGAUCGUAAAACUCUGUUAUUAGGGAAGAACAAAUGUGUAAGUAACUAUGCACGUCUUGACGGUACCUAAUCAGAAAGCCACGGCUAACUACGUG